GUGCCAGCGGCCGCGGUAAUACGUAGGUGGCAAGCGUUAUCCGGAAUUAUUGGGCGUAAAGCGCGCGUAGGCGGUUUUUUAAGUCUGAUGUGAAAGCCCACGGCUCAACCGUGGAGGGUCAUUGGAAACUGGAGAACUUGAGUGCAGAAGAGGAAAGUGGAAUUCCAUGUGUAGCGGUGAAAUGCGCAGAGAUAUGGAGGAACACCAGUGGCGAAGGCGACUUUCUGGUCUGUAACUGACGCUGAUGUGCGAAAGCGUGGGGAUCAAACAG
rnacentral:rRNA from 1 species